CGGACAAACAUGGCGGAAAGUCAUAACAAUGACUAAUUUGCUAUAUGAAAUAGAAAUAUUUUUCGCUCUCUUGCAAAUGUAGCGACGAAUCAAACUUAGUCAUAGUUGUUGUGCGUCAACGGAUAUACGAUGUGAGUAAGCACAACAACUCGCUACAAGCUAACCACACAAGCCCGACCACAAAGCAUGAAAGAACUAUAACGCGCUUAGAAAGAACUAAGUCAUCCCACUAUUACGUGCAGGAUAUGACGGAGAACACUCCCUUUAGUUACUAUAUAAAUGCACGACAAAAUAUAGAAUAGGACAAGAUAUAGAAUAGGACAAAAUAUAGAAUAGGACAAAAUAUAAGCGCUAAAAUGGAAGGAAGGUUACGUGAAGAGAAAUUCAAAGCUAUGAAACUGCCAGAAAGCAGUUUCUUCACAUGCUUCAGAAAGGAUUUGAAUCUUGAAAAUUGUUGCCUACCUUGGGUAAUUAAUAAACCGAUAAGACUAAACGUUACACGAACGUCGCGCGAGAUUGACGUGCGAGAUUGAGCGAUCAAUGCGAGACAAAUUCUUUAUCCAUUUAUAUUAAUAAUGAAAAAUCCGUAGUUGUGUGCUGCCUAUCGUAGCGGCAAAAGUAAGACAAAAUAACAAUUUAGAACAUUCUGGAACACAACACUCUUUUCUGGAACAUUCGACAAUGCUAGUUGCUGCUUGCAGUUGUCCAUGAAAUGACUGAGGCAACAAAGAUGUAAAGCGUGAGGAAAGCUAUAUUUCAACGCUCUGUACCAUCCGUUCUAAAUGUCAGUAGCUCUCGUGCUUCUUUAUUUAAACUUAUAUUCUUGGUAAAGAAGUGGUUGUAUGCAUCGAAUGUCUUCUUCUGACUUAAAAGUAACGGAUCUAUUACAGUUGGAUGAGUACUAGCAACACGUACUAGAUCACUUUUAUAUUGAAGAAUGUUGUGAAAGUAACAUUAAAUUUUCCAAGGUUGAAGGUUGGAUCAACACCAAAUAUGGAACUGUUUGCUGGGUCAUUGCAAAAAAUUUCCAUAUCUAACAAUUGCUAGUCCUAUCCGAGAAUACACCUUAGUUCAGGGGCACCCACAGCUUCACGGAUAAACAGUUCUUUAUCUUGUUGCAGUUGUUGUCGCUUGCACUGUUCAAGAAGAAUGACCAACGAAUUUAUUUUCUUGAAGUUUCUUCAAGUUGAAUUAAAACGCCGUAAAUAUUUUGCUUGCACAUGAUUUCUUGGUAAGUCGCUAUGAGAACGUGCAUUUAUGAUGCCGCCCUUUCUUUCCAUUAUAAAUUGAAUGUAAAAAAGUAAUGUGCAAAAACGAAUUGAUGUUAAUAAAUUGCAUUACAAAACGUCAAUAUCAAA